GUCCCCUUCGUCUAGUGGCCUAGGACGCCACCCUUUCACGGUGGAAACAGGGGUUCGAGUCCCCUAGGGGACGCCA
rnacentral:tRNA from 1 species